UACGUAGGGUCCGAGCGUUGUCCGGAAUUACUGGGCGUAAAGAGCUCGUAGGUGGUUUGUCGCGUUGUUCGUGAAAACCUGCAGCUUAACUGUGGGCGUGCGGUCGAUACGGGCAUCACUGGAGUUCGGCAGGGGAGACUGGAAUUCCUGGUGUAGCGGUGAAUGCGCAGAGUAUCAGGAGGAACACCGGUGGCCGGAAGGCGGCAUCCCUGGACCGGCAUUGA
rnacentral:rRNA from 1 species